rnacentral:rRNA from 1 species
GACAGAGGUCCCGAGCGUUAGGCGGAAUCACUGGGCUUAAAGCGUGUGUAGGCGGAUCGUUAAGUGCCUUGUGAAAUCCCACGGCUCAACCGUGGAACUGCUUGGUAUACUGGCGAUCUUGAGCCACCUAGGGGCAACCGGAACAAAUGGUGGAGCGGUGAAAUGCGUAGAUAUCAUUUGGAACGCCAAUGGUGAAAACAGGUUGCUGGGGGUGUGCUGACGCUGAGACACGAAAGCCAGGGGAGCGAACGGG